AUUACCUUAUCCUCGCCCCUGCCCUGCACUCCCUCUUCCUCUCCAGGCGAGGAAUCCAGUGGAACCCGCAAUGGAUCUGGUGCCUCCCUCAGUUCCUCACCACGCACCGCCGGACCACCAUCUAGCGCCGAGACGACCUCGAUGCAGGAGGCAGAGAAGUUUCGGCGGGGAUCGAUGUUUCCUCGCCUAAUUUUCGGGUUUGGGUGCUCCUAAGCUUGGCAAUGAAGAGCUUGAAUUCGAGAUGUCUAUAUUGGAAAAGAGGGUUGAAUACAACUUCCCGUAUUCGCUUUUAUCGGAUGAGACAGGAGGGUCACUGCAAUCUCUUCACCUCGUUUCAUGUGCUUUUCAUCCUAGGACAGCUCUUGGUUGCCACAAAAACUUGUAUCCAUCCUACGUGCACAUCACUGGAGAGGAACUGGAGCAUUUUGUUUCGAGUUGUAGCUCUUUGGUGCAGUUGUUGAUUUCUAGAUGCAAUGAUAUAGUUUGCUUCAGAGGGUACCAGGCGUACGUGUUGCGGCACCUUAAUCACUUUCAUGUGACAGAAUGCCAAAAACUAGGAGUAAUAGAGAUCAAUGCUCCAAAGCUCUCCAACUUUGUCUGUCUCGGAGCAGAGGUCAAACAUAUUACUAUGAUGGGUGCAAACUGAUGAUUCGCUGAGACGUACGCGAUUCAGUCUUUAUUGACCUUGAUGAUGGGGCUCAGUUGCGUUUGAGGCAGGUGCCGGAAUGCUCGCAUCACAAUCUGACGAUCACCGGAUUUACGUCUGCAAAGAGUCUGAUUGAAUUAACAAGGCACAUUGUUCAGAAUGCAUCAGCGCUCGAGUGCUUGACACCGGACACGGCCAUGGGUUGUGGCAGGAGGACAUCGGGAAAGACCAACAACAGCUGCAAGGAUUUGUGCGAGGAAGGGCUCAGGGAGGCCCAUAGAGGUGUCGAGGCUGUGAGGAGAAAUUCCAUGGCAUUGGAGCCAUGCAGCCACUGUGGGUUAUGCUAAAGCAGGAAAGGUUUCCUUAGUGAAAAGGGUUAAACUGAUUGGGAAGAUAA